rnacentral:rRNA from 1 species
AUUGAACGCUGGCGGCAGGCCUAACACAUGCAAGUCGAGCGGAUGAGUGGAGCUUGCUCCAUGAUUCAGCGGCGGACGGGUGAGUAAUGCCUAGGAAUCUGCCUGGUAGUGGGGGACAACGUUUCGAAAGGAACGCUAAUACCGCAUACGUCCUACGGGAGAAAGCAGGGGACCUUCGGGCCUUGCGCUAUCAGAUGAGCCUAGGUCGGAUUAGCUAGUAGGUGAGGUAAUGGCUCACCUAGGCGACGAUCCGUAACUGGUCUGAGAGGAUGAUCAAUCACACUGGAACUGAGACACGGUCCAGACUCCUACGGGAGGCAGCAGUGGGGAAUAUUGGACAAUGGGCGAAAGCCUGAUCCAGCCAUGCCGCGUGUGUGAAGAAGGUCUUCGGAUUGUAAAGCACUUUAAGUUGGGAGGAAGGGCAGUAAGUUAAUACCUUGCUGUUUUGACGUUACCAACAGAAUAAGCACCGGCUAACUUCGUGCCAGCAGCCGCGGUAA